GACGAACGCUGGCGGCGUGCCUAAUACAUGCAAGUCGAACGCAGUGGGGACGGGUUAGUAACACGUGGGUAACCUCCCAUCAGAGGGGCUAACACUUGGAAACAGGUGCUCAACCGAUACUGAUGGAUGGACCCGCGGUGCAUUAGCUAGUUGGUGAGGUAACGGCUCACCAAGGCCACGAUGCAUAGCCGACCGGAGAGGGGGAGCGGCCACUCUGGGAUUGAGACAGGACGCGAACUCCAACGGAGGGAACAAGUAGGGAAUCUUCGGCAGUGGAGUAAAGUCUGACCAAGAAACGCCGAGUGAGUGAAGAGGGUUUUUGGGUCGUAAGCAUCUUUUGUUAGGGGGGCGGUAUCGAAUUAGAAGUCCACGGCUAACUACGUGCCGGCAGCCGCGGUAAUAC
rnacentral:rRNA from 1 species